GACGAACGCUGGCGGCGUGCUUAACACAUGCAAGUCGAACGGAAAGGCCCUGCUUUUGUGGGGUGCUCGAGUGGCGAACGGGUGAGUAACACGUGAGUAACCUGCCCUUGACUUUGGGAUAACUUCAGGAAACUGGGGCGAAUACCGGAUAGGAGCUCCUGCUGCAUGGUGGGGGUUGGAAAGUUUCGGCGGUUGGGGAUGGACUCGCGGCUUAUCAGCUUGUUGGUGGGGUAGUGGCUUACCAAGGCUUUGACGGGUAGCCGGCCUGAGAGGGUGACCGGCCACAUUGGGACUGAGAUACGGCCCAGACUGCUACGGGAGGCAGCAGUGGGGAAUAUUGCACAAUGGGCGGAAGCCUGAUGCAGCAACGCCGCGUGCGGGAUGACGGCCUUCGGGUUGUAAACCGCUUUCGCCUGUGACGAAGCGUGAGUGACGGUAAUGGGUAAAGAAGCACCGGCUAACUACGUG
rnacentral:rRNA from 1 species